GAUGAACGCUGGCGGCGUGCCUAAUACAUGCAAGUCGAGCGGUGAAUGGAUUAAGAGCUUGCUCUUAUGAAGUUAGCGGCGGACGGGUGAGUAACACGUGGGUAACCUGCCCAUAAGACUGGGAUAACUCCGGGAUCAAACCGGGGCUAAUACCGGAUAACAUUUUGAACUGCAUGGUUCGAAAUUGAAAGGCGGCUUCGGCUGUCACUUAUGGAUGGACCCGCGUCGGCGCAUUAGCUAGUUGGUGAGGUAACGGCUCACCAAGGCAACGAUGCGUAGCCGACCUGAGAGGGUGAUCGGCCACACUGGGACUGAGACACGGUCCCCCAGACUCCUACGGGAGGCAGCAGUAGGGAAUCUUCCGCAAUGGACGAAAGUCUGACGGAGCAACGCCGCGUGAGUGAUGAAGGCUUUCGCAUGGUCGUAAAACUCUGUUGUUAGGGAAGAACAAGUGCUAGUUGAAUAAGCUGGCACCUUGACGGUACCUAACCAGAAAGCCACGGCUAACUACAACGUGCCAGCAGCCGCGGUAAUACGUAGGUGGCAAGCGUUAUCCGGAAUUAUUGGGCGUAAAGCGCGCGCAGGUGGUUUCUUAAGUCUGAUGCUUUGAAAGCCCACGGCUCAACCGUGGAGGGUCAUUGGAAACUGGGAGACUUGAGUGCAGAAGAGGAAAGUGGAAUUCCAUGUGUAGCGGUGAACGGAUGCGUAGAGAUAUGGAGGAACACCAGUGGCGAAGGCGACUUUCUGGUCUGUAACUGACACUGAGGCGCGAAAGCGUGGGGAGCAAACAGGUGGAUUAGAUACCCUGGUAGUCCACGCCGUAAACGAUGAGUGCUAAGUGUUAGAGGGUUUCCGCCCUUUAGUGCUGAAGUUAACGCAUUAAGCACUCCUCCGCCUGGGGAGUACGGCCGCAAGGCUGAAACUCAAAGGAAUUGACGGGGGCCCGCACAAGCGGUGGAGCAUGUGGUUUAAUUCGAAGCUACAACGCGAAGAACCUUACCAGGUCUUGACAUCCUCUGACAACCCUAGAGAUAGGGCUUCUCCUUCGGGAGCAGAGUGACAGGUGGUGCAUGGUUCUUGUCGUCAGCUCGUGUCGUGAGAUGUUGGGUUAAGUCCCGCAACGAGCGCAACCCUUGAUCUUAGUUGCCAUCAUUAAGUUGGGCACUCUACUAAGGUGACUGCCGGUGACAAACCGGAGGAAGGUGGGGAUGACGUCAAAUCAUCAUGCCCCUUAUGACCUGGGCUACACACGUGCUACAAUGGCCGACGGUACAAAGAGCUGCAAGACCGCGAGGUGGAGCUAAUCUCAUAAAACCGUUCUCAGUUCGGAUUGUAGGCUGCAACUCGCCUACAUGAAUGAGCUGGAAUCGCUAGUAAUCGCGGAUCAGCAUGCCGCGGUGAAUACGUUCCCGGGCCUUGUACACACCGCCCGUCACACCACGAGAGUUUGCAUUAACACCCGAAGUCGGUGGGGUAACCUUUUUGGAGCCAGCCGCCUAAGGUGGGACAGAUGAUUGGGGUG
rnacentral:rRNA from 1 species